UACGUAGGCAGCGAGCGUUGUUCGGAAUUACUGGGCGUAAAGAGUGUGUAGGCGGUGCUCUAAGUUCGGUGUGAAAUCUCCCGGCUUAACUGGGAGGGUGCGCCGGAAACUGGAGUGCUCGAGCGUGGGAGAGGAAAGCGGAAUUCCUGGUGUAGCGGUGAAAUGCGUAGAUAUCAGGAGGAACACCUGCGGUGUAGACGGCUCUCUGGACCAUUGCUGACGCUGAGACACGAAAGCGUGGGUAGCAAACAGG
rnacentral:rRNA from 1 species